rnacentral:rRNA from 1 species
UGAGUUGAAGGGCCGCGGUAUUUUGACCGUGCAAAGGUAGCAUAGUCAUUAGUUCUUUAAUUGUGACCUGGUAUGAAUGGCUUGACGAGACAUAGGCUGUCUUGGUAUGAAUUUGUUGUUGAAUUUGGAAUUUAAGUUAAAAUUCUUAAAUGUUUUUAUGGGACGAAAAGACCCUAUAGAGUUUGACAUUUGAUUACGUAUUUCUUAUUGUUUGUUUUAAAUUUUUGCGUGUCUUUUGUUUUGUUGGGGUGAUGGGAGGAAUAUAUUUAACUCCUCUUUUAUGUGGUAUAUUGAUUUGUAUAUGUUUUGAUCCAUUUAUUUUGAUUGUAAGAUUAAAUUACCUUAAGGAUAACAGCGUUAUCUUCCCUGAGAGUUCUUAUUGGCGGGGGGGUUUGCGACCUCCAUGUUGGAUUAAGGUUAAUUUUUGGUG